UACUUUUUAAGAGAUGUUGAUUCGUGUGUAGAAAGACCGAGGUAUCCCGAAAGGAAUGGUCGCUUAUGAACACACGAGGAGUCCACUGGCGAAACCGGCUUAAAUAAUA
rnacentral:ncRNA from 25 species